GUGGCAGCUCUCAUCUAAAGGUUCAGGUGUGUUGCUGUAUGCAGGCCUGGUUCUCCUUUUUCUAAUUGUCAUAUUAGCCGCAGCUGUGAUCAUUUUCUGGAGGAACAGCAAACCAAAAAAGGUUAUAGUACAAUUAGAUGAAAAUGAGAUGACUCCGGUGUAUGAGGAGAUCGGAGAUGAGACCACACAGAACAGCCCUCCUGCUGUUUCCAUCAUUUAUUCCAGUGUUAGUUUCACCAAAAAAAAUGAAGCUGAAACUACAGACAUCUACAGUUUGGCCACCAGUCCAACUUCCUGCACUGAGUAAAAGUGAGUAAAAGUUUAUCUUUAAUUGAAGAAAAUAAAUCAACUUACCUUUAACACCUCGCUGAAACAUGCCAUUUUUUUUCACAUUCAACAUUUUUCACAAACUCUUUUUCGGUAAAUUUUUUAUCAAAAUGCUUUUAUUUGAUG